rnacentral:rRNA from 1 species
GACGAACGCUGGCGGCGUGCUUAACACAUGCCAGUCGAACGGAAAGGCCUGCUUUCCCUUGUGGAUUGCGGGUACUCGAGUGGCGAACGGGUGAGUAACACGUGAGUGAUCUGCCCCCAACUUGGGUAUAAGCCUGGGAAACUGGGUCUAAUUCCCGAUAGGACUGCAGGGUGGUGCCUGUGGUGGAAAACGAUUUUCUAGUGGUUGGGGAUGAGCUCGCGGCCUAUCAGCUUGUUGGUGGGGUAAUGGCCUACCAAGGCGGCGACGGGUAGCCGGCCUGAGAGGGUGGACGGCCACAUUGGGACUGAGAUACGGCCCAGACUCCUUCGGGAGGCAGCAGUGGGGAAUAUUGCACAAUGGGCGGAAGCCUGAUGCAGCGACGCCGCGUGGGGGAUGACGGCCUUCGGGUUGUAAACUCCUUUCGACCGCGAGGAAGCCACCUGGUUGGAAGGGUGGUGACGGUAGUGGUAGAAGAAGCACCGGCUAACUACGUG